rnacentral:rRNA from 1 species
AACGAACGCUGGCGGCGUACUUAACACAUGCAAGUCGGACGAGAAAGGGGGCUUCGGCCCCUGAGUAAAGUGGCGCACGGGUGCGUAACACGUAAGUAAUCUACCCUAGACUCUAGGAUAACUCCCUGAAAGGGGUGCUAAUACUAGAUAGUUCCCUGGGGUGUAGGCUCCAGGGGGAAAGCGGGCCUCUAUACUAUGCUCGCGGUUUAGGAUGAGCUUGCGGCCCAUUAGCUAGUUGGUAGGAAAGCCUACCAAGGCUACGAUGGGUAGCUGGUCUGAGAGGAUGAUCAGCCACACUGGCACUGAGACACGGGCCAGACUCCUACGGGAGGCAGCAGGUGGGGAAUAUUGCGCAAUGGGCGAAAGCCUGACGCAGCGACGCCGCGUGGGUG